rnacentral:rRNA from 2 species
AACACAUUCGGGUUCUAUACAUGCAGUCGAACGAACUCUGGUAUUGAUUGGUGCUUGCAUCAUGAUUUACAUUUGAGUGAGUGGCGAACUGGUGAGUAACACGUGGGAAACCUGCCCAGAAGCGGGGGAUAACACCUGGAAACAGAUGCUAAUACCGCAUAACAACUUGGACCGCAUGGUCCGAGUUUGAAAGAUGGCUUCGGCUAUCACUUUUGGAUGGUCCCGCGGCGUAUUAUCUAGAUGGUGGGGUAACGGCUCACCAUGGCAAUGAUACGUAGCCGACCUGAGAGGGUAAUCGGCCACAUUGGGACUGAGACACGGCCCAAACUCCUACGGGAGGCAGCAGUAGGGAAUCUUCCACAAUGGACGAAAGUCUGAUGGAGCAACGCCGCGUGAGUGAAGAAGGGUUUCGGCUCGUAAAACUCUGUUGUUAAAGAAUAACUUAUCUGAGAGUAACUGUUCAGGUAUAGACGGUAUUUAACCAGAACGCCACUGCUAACUACUUGACAGCAGCCGCG